UACGGAGGGUGCAAGCGUUAUCCGGAUUUACUGGGUUUAAAGGGUGCGUAGGCGGACAGGUAAGUCAGUGGUGAAAUCCCCGGGCUCAACUCGGGAACUGCCGUUGAUACUAUCUGUCUUGAAUACCGUGGAGGUGAGCGGAAUAUGUCAUGUAGCGGUGAAAUGCUUAGAUAUGACAUAGAACACCGAUUGCGAAGGCAGCUCACUACGCGGUCAUUGACGCUGAGGCACGAAAGCGUGGGGAGCAAACAGG
rnacentral:rRNA from 1 species